UACGGAGGGGGCUAGCGUUGUUCGGAAUUACUGGGCGUAAAGCGCACGUAGGCGGCUUUGUAAGUUAGAGGUGAAAGCCUGGGGCUCAACUCCAGAAUUGCCUUUAAGACUGCAUCGCUUGGACACGGGAGAGGUGAGUGGAAUUCCGAGUGUAGAGGUGAAAUUCGUAGAUAUUCGGAAGAACACCAGUGGCGAAGGCGGCUCACUGGACCGUUGUUGACGCUGAGGUGCGAAAGCGUGGGGAGCAAACAGG
rnacentral:rRNA from 1 species